rnacentral:lncRNA from 1 species
GAGUGUAAUAAAGUUUCUCCAGGGAGGCAGGGCCCGGGGAGAAAGUUGGAGCGGUAACCUAAGCUGGCAGUGGCGUGAUCCGGCACCAAAUCGGCCCGCGGUGCGGUGCGGAGACUCCAUGAGGCCCUGUUUUUCUGGAAGUCCCCACCCCCCGACACGUUCCAAGCCCUACUACGAGAAACCCUUCGUUACUCCUUCCAUUCUCCGAAACUCCGCCUCCUAGCAACGAUCCUCGGCUAACUCCUGUCAAAAGGCCUAUCUCCCAAAAGGGCAAAACCCUGCUCUUCAAAGAACGAUUCGAAUUUGUUGAAGCUCCGCCCCUCCGAAGCCACGCCCCCUCCGUAAUCCACGUCUGACUGUCCAGAAAGCCUCCCCGCCCAGAAGUCUGAAGUUCGCGUCCUUAGGGGACCACGCCCCCUUAGGAGCUUUAUCUUUGUGGGACCUGGGUCAUCAGCUGAAAAGCCUUGUCGUCAAUCCCUGAAACUCCACCUGCUUAUAUUUUCCUGUCCUUUCUCUUUUUGGGCCUUGGGAUCAGUUUUCCGAGCACUCUCGUGCUCCCCCAGGUGGGAAGUCAAAGUUCCCAUCUCUGGCUGUAAGGAGUGAGAUUAAAG